UAGAGAAUUAAUUAUGUGAAAAUUUAAUCUGAACUAUAUAGAUAUUGUUAAAAUCGGAACGGCGAAAAAUAGAUCCAGAAAAUAACUUAAUGCAGAAAACGAAAAGAUAAGCGGAAAGAAUACACCAAUAUUUACGUGGUUCGGCCAACGACCUACGUCCACGGGCGAAGACGGAGCAAAUAAUUUAUUAAUGUCGAAAAGGCGGAGUACAAGAAAGAUCUCUCAAAAGAAUUUCAUAAUCCAAAUAAAUAAAUU
rnacentral:lncRNA from 1 species